ensembl:lncRNA
CCCGGUUUUAUUUCUCUCAACUGUAAUCAACACAGGUUGCACAACGGAUUAUCUUCCACCAUCCUGUAAUUCAGCUGAAGUUGCUGGAAUAACACCAGAGGUGAAUCCAAUCCAUCACUUUGUGCUUGCAUAUAUAUUAUUUGUGAGUUCUGUGUGUAUGUAAGCCUGGGAAGGAUUGACUUGAUAUGUAGAGGAUCAAAUGUAUGUGCCUACACUUCACUGAUAAGACAGAAUUGUGAGAAUCCUCCCAUUUUCAUAUGUUUGAAUGAAGAAUUGGCUGGAGUGGCAUUUUUCAUUUGUGUCAUAUGAAUGUCUGGUGAUACUUUGCAGUUAGCAAUAAUUACAUUACAUCUGCUGUGUACAUAACAGGAAACUAAUUCUUCUUAUGAAGCUACAGUACGUGGAUAUAGAUUUUGAGUUUUGUACUGUUACAUUUACUAACCACAUAAUUGCAUAUUUAGUUCUAUUACACUAGAUCCUGAAGUGCUACGGUGAAGGGUAUAAUUACAUCAUUUACUCUUGAAGAAACCCUCAAGAUAUACUAUAAAUAAUAGGAUUGCAGAUUCAUAGAAAUUAGAGAUGAGAAAAGAGCCUAUUAGGUCAUCUGCAACCCAGUGAGGAAAAAUUACAGCAGUUAGCUGGAGUGCAUCUUAUCAUAGGCAUUGAUUGCCUUUCCUGUAUCCUUGUGCUAGAAUUCCCCCAGAUCCUCAUGGAAGAGCUGUGUGCUGCUAUAGGAGCAGGACUGGGAAGUGACGUCUCUUCAUGGGCUGGAAGCUAUGCAAGAGAGGCGGCCAGAACACAGUUGUUUCCCCCAGUGAUGGAAAUCCUGUCCAGAAAUCCAUCCAAAGGCAUCUUCUCUUCACCACAGACCUGUAACCUGGAGGCCACAUUGGUCACUGGCAGAUGUGGGGAUGAAGGCUGUUUUAGGAGUUUCAGAAAUGUGAAUGAAAAGAGUUAUCUUCCCUAGCUGUGCGAGAGCAGUUCCUGUCAAGUUCAGAAGUCCCACGCCGCAGACCCUUCGCUGGCUGUUGUGCUUGGAACACGGCUGGGCCCGGCCUCCCGCACGCAAGGAACAGCAGCCUGUCAUCAUCAGGCUCAGCGUGGCGGCGCCGGCCAGAUGCGAGCAUAGAACCCACGGAGGUAUUAACUCAAAGCGAGGCAACCCUGCCAAUGCCAGUCUCCCAGAUCUCAUUCACAACCCAUGCCAGCUCCAGCCAGUCAGCCAGCCAGGCGGCGGCAGCGAAGGGCGUGCGGGAAGGCAGCGGCGUGACAGCAAGUUUCCCAUGAUUUAUUUCUGCUCUGCUGAGCGGGCUCCCAGCUGAACUGGAGCACGGGAAACUUGCAUCUGUUCUGCGGGCAGGCACGCAGCACUGCAGCACGGCGGCAAUUAUGGGAGGCUGCAUGACCAAAGGGGAGCUGGGCUGGUCAGCUCCAUUCAUCCACAGCCAUAGAUGAAUUCAUUUGGCUGUUGUUUGCAAGCCUGCUGCAAACUUGUUGAUCCCGGCCUGUCUAAGGGAACAGUGGUCAGUCCUUGGAGGAUGCUGUCCAGAGUGCUGUGGACCUUUGCUUUUGGAGAUGGUCUCAUCUAUCUGCUAUGGUGAUGGGAGCCUUUUGAGGUGCUCUGGGUCCGGCUGUAUGAAUGGGAUGGAUGCUUAUUGCCAUUAUACAUCAAAAACGCAUGUGAUCUUCACCUGGAAAGGGUUUCUUAGGAGAAGAGGCUGAGACGGACCUACUGUUUCUACUUCGGGAUGAAAUAAAUAAAAAGAGGGAAACUGGGAAGACAGUGAAAACUACAAAAAAGAUGAGGAAAGAUGACCUCAUUUGACUGCUUUUCCAAAUUCAUGAGCAAGCUACUCAAUAAGGAAGCACAGAGGGAAAAACAAAGGAAGAUCUGAAACUGAUAAGGAAAUAUUUUUAGACAACACUUAAUUAACCCUGGGAACUCAGUGCCAUAAAACACCACUGAGCCCAAGAGAUGAGCAGGAUUCAAAACAGGCCAGGCAUUUGUAUGGGUAACGAGAACUACAUUAGACUAGAUUAACAAAAUAUGAGGGAUACAAACUCUCAUGCGCUAUGGCACUAGGAAGCAGCUCACUGACGAAAAUUAGGAAAAUACCUUCCCCUAUGGGCAGAUCAUUCCAUAAUCAUUCAUUAUGGGGUUUCAUGUGCUUCCCUCUGCGGCAGCUGGGCUUGGCUGCUGAUGGAGCCGGGUGCGGAGCGUGGCAGAACAAUGGCCUGAUUCGGCACCGGCAUCCCUUUGUUCCCACACGGUAUUGUUCUGCGAGGGACACUUUCCACAAAUAAGAAGAGGGAAAUCAAAGGGAUGACAAGGAAGCCGUGCAAAUGCCUCUGACAUAAAUCUUUACCUUGCACGCACAUGCCCUCAUCCCAGUGAAUUAACAGGAACAAAAGGAAAAAAGGUGGCUGGUAGGAUUGUUCACACAAUAUGAAUUAAGAAGGGCCUGGGAACACCUUCAGCAUGAGUUAGCUGGGUUUGCUUUGAGGAAAGGUUUGGGAGCUGAUUCUAGCAGCAUGUGCAGAACUUCCCCAUGCCUUCUCGUUGAGGAGAGAAAUCUCAAGGGAUUUGGGAUAGUGUGCUUGGAAUCUGGAGAGCCGGGAUGUACGGG